rnacentral:rRNA from 1 species
CCUACGGGAGGCAGCAGUGGGGAAUAUUGCACAAUGGGGGAAACCCUGAUGCAGCGACGCCGCGUGAGUGAAGAAGUUUUUCGGUAUGUAAAGCUCUAUCAUCAGGGAAGAAAAUGACGGUACCUGGUUAAUAAGCCCCGUCUAACUACGUGCCAGCAGCCGCGGUACUACGUAGGUGGCAAGCGUUAUCCGGAUUUACUGGGGGGAAAGGUAGCGUAGACGGCAGCACAAGUCUGGAGGGAAAUGCCGGGGCCUAACCCCGGAACUGCUUUGGAAACUGUGCAGCUAGAGUGCAGGAGAGGUGAGUGGAAUUCCAAGUGUAGCGGUGAAAUGCGUAGAUAUUAGGAGGAACACCAGUGGCGAAGGCGGCUUACUGGACUGUAACUGACGUUGAGGCUCGAAAGCGUGGGGAGCAAACAGGAUUAGAUACCCCAGUAGUC